UGCAAUCUUUGCUACUAAGGAGAAUAUAUCACCAUAAUCAAGGCCCAAUAUCUGAGUAUACACUUUUGCUACAAGUUUAGCUUUAAGUCGAUCAACCUUCCCAUCAGAACCUACCUUCAUUGUAAACAACCAACAGCACCAAUUUAUAGUCUUUUGGUAAUAAAAUUAUUUCCCUAGUACCAUUGGCAUGAAGAGCAAUCAUUUCCUCAACCAUAGCUUGCCACCAACUAGGAUGGGACAUUGCUUAUGCUACAAUAUUAGAUAUUGGGUAAGUAGAUAAAAUUAAAAUAAAAGCAUAGUAUAAAGGUGAUAAACGGUAGUAGCUUGAAAAAUUAUAAAUAGGAUGAGAGUUACUAAUGUGCCUUAGGGGGGGGAGGAA
rnacentral:misc_RNA from 1 species